UACGUAGGGUGCGAGCGUUGUCCGGAUUUAUUGGGCGUAAAGAGCGUGUAGGCGGUUCGGUAAGUCUGUCGUGAAAUCCUGAGGCUCAACCUGGGAAUGGCGAUGGUGACUGCAAGGCUAGAGUUUGGCAGAGGGGGGUAGAAUUCCACGUGUAGCAGUGAAAUGCGUAGAUAUGUGGAGGAACACCGAUGGCGAAGGCAGCCCCCUGGGUCAAAACUGACGCUCAUGCACGAAAGCGUGGGGAGCAAACAGG
rnacentral:rRNA from 1 species